rnacentral:rRNA from 1 species
UACAGAGGGUGCAAGCGUUAAUCGGAUUACUGGGCGUAAAGCGCGCGUAGGUGGCCAAUUAAGUCAAAUGUGAAAUCCCCGAGCUUAACUUGGGAAUUGCAUUCGAUACUGGUUGGCUAGAGUAUGGGAGAGGAUGGUAGAAUUCCAGGUGUAGCGGUGAAAUGCGUAGAGAUCUGGAGGAAUACCGAUGGCGAAGGCAGCCAUCUGGCCUAAUACUGACACUGAGGUGCGAAAGCAUGGGGAGCAAACAGG